GCGACCAACUACGGAGGCCCGCGGGGGACAUGGGAGAAAAAAAAAUUAAGACGGAGAUUAGAGCUAACGGGAAGAAUGCGGCUAAAACUUUUGCGAGAUCUCUCAAAAGUUUUGCAAGAUCCCGAGUUUGUUUUGCGAGAUCUCGCAAAAGUCCGUCUUAAUUUUUUUUCUCCCAUGUCCCCUGCGGGGCUCUGUAACCAACUGUUCAGGUAGCAAAAAAAAAAAAAAAAAAAAUCUGCAACCUUCCCUGUGGUCAACAACAGACACACAUUAUGCCCCUAUCGUGGACUAAACCAAUCAGAGAUAGUAAGGGGCGGGACCUCUCUGAUUGGCCGUGGUCCAGUUGAAAGUGCAGGUGGAAGUGGGAGGUGAGUAGCUUGAAUAAAGCGAUAUCAAUUCAUUAAAUCCUGAAUCGACUUUUAAAUAUAACUGUGUUUUGCCAGAAACGUCAGAUUAAAGCUCACAAAACCAUUUCAACAACAACCAAACAGCAAAUGAGAGCAGGUACACGGAUUCCACACAAAGACGUAAACACAGAACGGACUGACGCAUCAGAAUCAACUGAGGGCGAUCGUGGCUCAAGAGUUGGGAGUUCGCCUGGUAAUUGGAAGGUUGCCGGUUCGAGCCCCUGCUUGGACAGUCUCGGUUGUUGUGUCCUUGGGCAAGACACUUCUCCCGUUGCCUACUGGUGGUGGUCAGAGGGCCCGGUGGCGCCAGUGUCCGGCAGCCUCGCCUCUGUCAGUGCGCCCCAGGGUGGCUGUGGCUACAAUGUAGCUGCCAUCACCAGUGUGUGAAUGGGUGGAUGACUGGAUGUGUAAAGCGCUUUGGGUUCCUUAGGGACUAGUAAAGCGCUAUAUAAAUACAGGCCAUUUACCAUUGGCUUUCUCACCCGACGGCCCGUACACGGACACGCUGUUUGAGCUUAGCGGUUCUGAUGCGUCCGGUCCGCGCUGUGAUUACGUCUUUUUGCGCUGAUUCUGAGCUGCAGGCUUUGUCUCUCUCCAACCAAAAUUCACGAGCCAGCAGCAAAAGAAGCAGCAAACUGCGCUUCACAUUUAAUCAAUGUCGUCAUGAAUUUUGCUGUUUUGCUUCCUGUUAAAAUCACACUUCAUGCACAGCUAGCUCUCUCUCUGUACUUCAAGAACAGUUUCCCGUCUCCAAUCGCUGUUUUCUGUAUUAUUCAUUCGCUUAUUACCCACCAGUCUACCGUUGUUUACAGCGCUGUCGGCUGCUGUCUUUUUCUUUUCUUUUUCUUUUUUUCACUUAAAUGACCUCGGACAAGAAAGCCUAUUUUUUUCUGUUGUUCAAUACUGAAGAAAUUUAAACUUUAUAUGCAGAACAUUGUAGAAUAUUUUUAAGGUUAUGUGCUAUAAAAAGCCAGACCAGGAAAAUCUCCUUCAUGUUUUUCUGUGUUUUAUUCUCAGUUACUUUCACACAAAGGCAUCUGCUGUGAUGUUCACAAUUCUGAUGAAGUCAGUACUGAUAAAUGAUCAGAAUUAUAAUAUUUCUGACUGUCUGAGGCUAAGUUGAAUCGAAUCGAGACUUUGAAAACC
ensembl:lncRNA